rnacentral:rRNA from 1 species
UUAAAUUGAAGAGUUUGAUCAUGGCUCAGAUUGAACGCUGGCGGCAKSSSWARMRCAYGCAAGUCGAACGGUAACAGGAAGCAGCUUGCUGCUUUGCUGACGAGUGGCGGACGGGUGAGUAAUGUCUGGGAAACUGCCUGAUGGAGGGGGAUAACUACUGGAAACGGUAGCUAAUACCGCAUAACGUCGCAAGACCAAAGAGGGGGACCUUAGGGCCUCUUGCCAUCGGAUGUGCCCAGAUGGGAUUAGCUAGUAGGUGGGGUAACGGCUCACC